UACAGAGGUCUCAAGCGUUUGUUCGGAUUCAUUGGGCGUAAAGGGUGCGUAGGCGGCGCGGUAAGUCGGGUGUGAAAUCUCGGAGCUUAACUCCGAAAACUGCAUUCGAUACUGCCGUGCUUGAGGACUGGAGAGGAGACUGGAAUUUACGGUGUAGCGGUGAAAUGCGUAGAUAUCGUAAGGAAGACCAGUGGCGAAGGCGGG
rnacentral:rRNA from 1 species